rnacentral:misc_RNA from 1 species
UACGAAGGGGGCUAGCGUUGCUCGGAAUCACUGGGCGCAAAGCGCACGUAGGCGGGCUUUUAAGUCGGAGGUGAAAUCCCAGGGCUCAACCCUGGAACUGCCUUCGAUACUGAAAGUCUUGAGUCCGGAAGAGGUAAGUGGAACUCCGAGUGUAGAGGUGAAAUUCGUAGAUAUUCGGAAGAACACCAGUGGCGAAGGCGGCUUACUGGUCCGGUACUGACGCUGAGGUGCGAAAGCGUGGGGAGCAAACAGG